rnacentral:rRNA from 1 species
UACGUAGGGUGCAAGCGUUUGUCCGGAAUUAUUGGGCGUAAAGAGCUCGUAGGCGGUUUGUCGCGUCUGCUGUGAAAUCUGGGGGCUCAACCCCCAGCCUGCAGUGGGUACGGGCAGACUAGAGUGCGGUAGGGGAGAUUGGAAUUCCUGGUGUAGCGGUGGAAUGCGCAGAUAUCAGGAGGAACACCGAUGGCGAAGGCAGAUCUCUGGGCCGUAACUGACGCUGAGGAGCGAAAGCAUGGGGAGCGAACAGG